rnacentral:lncRNA from 1 species
GGUCAGAUUGCUAUCAACUUGUCAUAUUCAUUUUAGGAAUAAUGAAAAGCUUUUUAACGUUUUACUUGCUGAACGGUUUCUCCUUGGUUUCUCGCUCAACUCACUUUUCUAAUACAUAUAAUAAAUAAAUGUGUUAUCUAAAGUUAGAGGUUGCUAUACGGAACCAUAAUACUGAUAGAUACUUGAAAAGAGCCGAUGAGACUGAAAAACCCAGCUAAGUUCAUCAUAUGGAGACUCUUCACCGCCUUUAUACCAUGCAGUAUUUAGUUUUUG